UCCCCUCCAUUCUCUCAUCUUUGCCUCCAUAUAUUUUCUAGAUUAAGUCUACGAAUAUAUUUUUCUCUUUACUCCGUUUGGCUCUCAUCUCUCAUCUAAAGUGUCCAGCUUAAUAUAUUCUUCAUGGAAGUUUAGGAAUGACCCGUUCCAGAGUGGUAAAUGGGAGUAGCACACCAUUGCCUCCUGCUAGGCAGAGAUUAAAAGUAUCUGCAAUGAGGCCAAUUCCUCACAUUCGUCGCCAAAGCGUAGUAGUAUUGGUUCAACUUCUGCAACACACAGAAAAUCAUUUUCAAGUGCAGCUCAGUCUAAGCAGGUUAUUUCAUUGAAUCCGCUGCCUCUUAAGAAACAUGGUUGCGAUAGAGGCCCAGUACAGACAUGCUCUGAGCAUUGUCUUCAAAUAGAAAUCUCUAAAUACUACAUAAGUUGAUGAAAAAUUAAAAAUGGUUGCUGUCAUUUAGCAAAGAUUGUUGUCUAAACAUUGUUGUGAGAAUUUUAAUUACCUAUACUAGUAGGAUGAUCUGUUUUUUCUUUCACUUGUUAUUUUCUGAUUAAUGAUUUUUUUUUGGGUCAAUAUUUUGUAAAGAAUGUUAUUCUAAGACCUAAAUAUUGCUAAAUCAUACUGGGCCAAUC